CUUGCUCUUAUGAAGUUAGCGGCGGACGGGUGAAGUAACACGUGGGUAACCUGCCCAUAAGACUGGGAUAACUCCGGGAAAACCGGGGCUAAUACCGGAUAACAUUUUGAACCGCAUGGUUCGAAAUUGAAAGGCGGCUUCGGCUGUCACUUAUGGAUGGACCCGCGUCGCAUUAGCUAGUUGGUGAGGUAACGGCUCACCAAGGCAACGAUGCGUAGCCGACCUGAGAGGGUGAUCGGCCACACUGGGACUGAGACACGGCCCAGACUCCUACGGGAGGCAGCAGUAGGGAAUCUUCCGCAAUGGACGAAAGUCUGACGGAGCAACGCCGCGUGAGUGAUGAAGCUUUCGGGUCGUAAAACUCUGUUGUUAGGGAAGAACAAGUGCUAGUUGAAUAAGCUGGCACCUUGACGGUACCUAACCAGAAAGCCACGGCUAACUACGUGCCAGCAGCCGCGGUAAUACGUAGGUGGCAAGCGUUAUCCGGAAUUAUUGGGCGUAAAGCGCGCGCAGGUGGUUUCUUAAGUCUGAUGUGAAAGCCCACGGCUCAACCGUGGAGGGUCAUUGGAAACUGGGAGACUUGAGUGCAGAAGAAGGAAAGUGGAAUUCCAUGUGUAGCGGUGAAAUGCGUAGAGAUAUGGAGGAACACCAGUGGCGAAGCGACUUUCUGGUCUGUAACUGACACUGAGGCGCGAAAGCGUGGGGAGCAAACAGGAUUAGAU
rnacentral:rRNA from 2 species